rnacentral:rRNA from 1 species
UACGGAGGAUCCAAGCGUUAUCCGGAAUCAUUGGGUUUAAAGGGUCCGUAGGCGGUUUGGUAAGUCAGUGGUGAAAGCCCAUCGCUUAACGAUGGGACGGCCAUUGAUACUGCCAGACUUGAAUUACUGGGAAGUAACUAGAAUAUGUAGUGUAGCGGUGAAAUGCUUAGAUAUUACAUGGAAUACCAAUUGCGAAGGCAGGUUACUACCAGUGGAUUGACGCUGAUGGACGAAAGCGUGGGGAGCGAACAGG